rnacentral:rRNA from 2 species
UUAAUUUGAGAGUUUGAUCCUGGCUCAGGACGAACGCUGGCGGCGUGCCUAAUACAUGCAAGUCGAACGAACUCUGGUAUUGAUUGGUGCUUGCAUCAUGAUUUACAUUUGAGUGAGUGGCGAACUGGUGAGUAACACGUGGGAAACCUGCCCAGAAGCGGGGGAUAACACCUGGAAACAGAUGCUAAUACCGCAUAACAACUUGGACCGCAUGGUCCGAGUUUGAAAGAUGGCUUCAGCUAUCACUUUUGGAUGGUCCCGCGGCGUAUUAGCUAGAUGGUGGGGUAACGGCUCACCAUGGCAAUGAUACGUAGCCGACCUGAGAGGGUAAUCGGCCACAUUGGGACUGAGACACGGCCCAAACUCCUACGGGAGGCAGCAGUAGGGAAUCUUCCACAAUGGACGAAAGUCUGAUGGAGCAACGCCGCGUGAGUGAAGAAGGGUUUCGGCUCGUAAAACUCUGUUGUUAAAGAAGAAUAUAUCUGAGAGUAACUGUUCAGGUAUUGACGGUAUUUAACCAGAAAGCCACGGCUAACUACGUGCCAGCAGCCGCGGUAAUACGUAGGUGGCAAGCGUUGUCCGGAUUUAUUGGGCGUAAAGCGAGCGCAGGCGGUUUUUUAAGUCUGAUGUGAAAGCCUUCGGCUCAACCGAAGAAGUGCAUCGGAAACUGGGAAACUUGAGUGCAGAAGAGGACAGUGGAACUCCAUGUGUAGCGGUGAAAUGCGUAGAUAUAUGGAAGAACACCAGUGGCGAAGGCGGCUGUCUGGUCUGUAACUGACGCUGAGGCUCGAAAGUAUGGGUAGCAAACAGGAUUAGAUACCCUGGUAGUCCAUACCGUAAACGAUGAAUGCUAAGUGUUGGAGGGUUUCCGCCCUUCAGUGCUGCAGCUAACGCAUUAAGCAUUCCGCCUGGGGAGUACGGCCGCAAGGCUGAAACUCAAAGGAAUUGACGGGGGCCCGCACAAGCGGUGGAGCAUGUGGUUUAAUUCGAAGCUACGCGAAGAACCUUACCAGGUCUUGACAUACUAUGCAAAUCUAAGAGAUUAGACGUUCCCUUCGGGGACAUGGAUACAGGUGGUGCAUGGUUGUCGUCAGCUCGUGUCGUGAGAUGUUGGGUUAAGUCCCGCAACGAGCGCAACCCUUAUUAUCAGUUGCCAGCAUUAAGUUGGGCACUCUGGUGAGACUGCCGGUGACAAACCGGAGGAAGGUGGGGAUGACGUCAAAUCAUCAUGCCCCUUAUGACCUGGGCUACACACGUGCUACAAUGGAUGGUACAACGAGUUGCGAACUCGCGAGAGUAAGCUAAUCUCUUAAAGCCAUUCUCAGUUCGGAUUGUAGGCUGCAACUCGCCUACAUGAAGUCGGAAUCGCUAGUAAUCGCGGAUCAGCAUGCCGCGGUGAAUACGUUCCCGGGCCUUGUACACACCGCCCGUCACACCAUGAGAGUUUGUAACACCCAAAGUCGGUGGGGUAACCUUUUAGGAACCAGCCGCCUAAGGUGGGACAGAUGAUUAGGGUGAAGUCGUAACAAGGUAGCCGUAGGAGAACCUGCGGCUGGAUCACCUCCUUUCUAAGGAA